GACCCUAUGGCCACUAUAGGGACGCCAUAGGGACACCAUAGGGACACUAUAGGGACCCCAAUGCCACCUAAUGGGACCCUAAGGCCACUAUAGGGACCCUAUGGCCACUAUAGGGACACCAUAGGGACACCAUAGGGACGCCAAAGGGUCCCCAAUGCCACUAAAUGGGACCCCAAUGGGGACAGGACCACCUUGAGGACCCCCUGUGCCACCAAUGAAACCCCCCAGGGCCACUAAUGGGAUGGGACCACCUAUGGGACCCCCAGAGCCACUAAAUGGGGACCCCCAGGACAACCAAUAGGAUCCCCAUGGCCACCUUGGGAAUGGGACCACCAAUGGGACCCCCAUAGUCACCAAUGGGACCCCCAUGGCCACCAAUGGGGACAGGACCACCAAUGGGACCCCCAUAGUCACCAAUGGGACCCCCAUGGCCACCUUGGGGACCCCCAGGGCCACCAAUAGGACCCCCAGGACCACCAAUGGGACCCCCAUCUCCACCAAUGGGACCAUCAUAGUCAUUAAUGGGACCCCCAUGGCCACCAAUGGGACCCCCAUGGCCACCAAUGGGACCCCCAUAGACACCAAUGGGGACAGGACCACCAAUGGGACCCCCAUAGUCACCAAUGGGACCCCCAUGGCCACCUUGGGGACCCCCAUAGCCACCAAUGGGACCCCCAGGACCCCCAGGACCACCAAUGGGGACAGGACCACCAAUGGGACCCCCAUAGUCACCAAUGGGACCCCCAUAGCCAUUAAUGGGACCCCCAGGACCCCCAGUGGGACCCCCAUAGUCACCAAUGGGGACAGUACCACCAAUGGGACCCCCAAUGGGACCCCCAUAGUCACCAAUGGGACCCCCAUGUCCACCUUGGGGACCCCCAGGGCCACCAUGGGGGGGUGGGGGGGGUCAGGGCAGGAGCAGAUGGAACCAAUAAAGGUGCCACCAGAACUUGAUAACGUCCCCUGUGUCCUAUAGGGCGAAUAAAGGGUGUGGGGUGAGUGGGGUCGGCGAGGGG
rnacentral:lncRNA from 1 species